AAAAAGCAACUCACCUACACAAAGAACAAAAUCCAAUCAAGAGCUACAAUAUCAGUAGAAGACUUUAAUGUAUCAGUUAGAGAAUUAAAAUUAUCAGGACAUCAUACAUCAGAGUAGCCUGAUUAAAUGGAUCGGUGUGUGAACUCCCGUUUGCUCAUCAGUUGUGUGUUCUUAGCUUGUACUGGGCCUCAAGAACUGACAGUUUCUUUUUUUCUUAACACAUCUACUCUUUUUAAAAAAUGUUUAUUUAUUGUUGAGAAAGAGAGAGAGAGAGGGCAGUUUUGAGAAGAGAGAGAGAGGGAGACAGAGGAUCUGAAGUGGGCUUCGUGCUGACAGCAGAGAGCCAGAAAAACUCAUGAACCAUGAGAUCAUGACCUGAGCUGAAGUUGGAAGCUUAACCGACUGAACCACCCAGGUGCCCUAACACAUCUACUCUUAAUUUUGGAAAAAAAUGGCCUUCCACAGUUAGCUUCACUCCUCCCUUCAGUGUGAAGCCUUCCUGGCCCUUCUGGCAAUUUGUCACACCCUCCCAAAUGCUGUCACUGAGUAUGCCCUUGUGGGGUGAAUUAAUUGUUCAGUUGUGGAUGCCCUCACUUCCCCAUCCCUCCUACACCAUGGGCUCCUCAAGGGAAGGACUGAAUUUUACCUUUGUAUCUCCAGCCUCUAGCACUUUACCUGGAACAUGAGCCCCUCAGUAAACAUUUGUUGAACAAAUAGUGGAUAAUAGUGGAUGAACUUUCUACACGUAAUACUUGACUUGGAACAUUAUUUGUUGAACAAGUAAUGGGAAAUAAUGAGUGAAUUUUCUACUUCUGUCUCUGUCAAAAUUAUACACUACAAAUUGGUUUUUUAAGGGGGUAUAUUUUACCCUGUACCUGUUACACUCUAUCAGCCUGAAGACACCAAAAUCAUUCAGCAGGUAUGUACUGCUAGAGUGUUAUUUCCAGAAUUAGCCUUAGACUCUGUGCACUUGAGUGGAUGUGACCUUCCUAUGAGACAAAAACAACAGAAUUUAUUUCAAGUGGACUGGGAAUAGGCAGAAGAGAGUGAAUCCAUGCCAUGUAGGCCAACCAAUUAAAACAAAAUGUGGAUUUACAACUACUGUUAGGGUCCUUUAGAAGACAAUUUCAGUGCAGAUUCAAGUUGCUUUUAGCAUUAUCUUUUUUUUUUAAUGUUCAUUUAUUUUUGAGGGAGAGAAAGAGAAACAGCGUGAGUUGGGGAGGGGCAGAGAGAGAGAGGGAGACACAGAAUCCGAGGCAGGCUCCAGGCUCCCAGCUGUCAGCACAGAGCCUGACGCGGGGCUCGAACUCACAUACCGCGAAAACAUGACCUGAGCCAAAGUCAGAUGCUCAACUGACUGAGCCACCCAGGUACCCUUGCUUUGAGCAUUAUCUUAAGAGACACCUUCCCAAGCCUGAGUUGCCACCUUAUCUUUGUCAGCCUCCACCGGAAUAUAUUUUGAUUAUGGAUCCACUUUACAAACUUCAGUUUAAGAAACCACCUGAAGUUGUUAUGAAAUACUUCUUAGAGGCCAUAUUUUUGGGCCCCUUAAGCUUUACUAGGUGGAAGACAAAACCCAAGAUAGGCGAAGGUGAAUACUUGGGCAUUUUCAGUGACAGAGCAUUUACAACUGGCAGAAAUUACAAAUACCCCAAAUCUCAUUUUCCAAAUCAAAGCUGUCAGGGGUCCAGCUGAACAGUUCAGAAAUAAUCCCUGUUUCACACUUUGUUUUUUUAGGUUCACAGGGGAGAGGCAGAGGACAUAGUCGUACCUAUAUAGUUUUAUGUUUAUUAUUGUAGGGCCUUGACAAAUCCUGCAGAAGAGUCAUGGAGACCGUAAAUUGCAUGUUCGGUCCCUGAGCAUUAUGUUUGCAGAUCUGAUCUCUUCAGGAGGGCAGGGCUAGAAGUAGUGUGCAACCCCUAAGCUUGACGUGUGAGGUAAGCUGCCCCUUACCUCCUCUGGGCUUUCCGCUCUGGUUCCUGGUAUCUCAGACUUUUCCUUUCCUUUCCGUUUUUAUUGAGGUGAUUGAUAUACAAGUUUAAGAUGUACAGUGUGUCAAUUUGUUGCAUUGUCAUAUUGCAAUAUGAUUACCACGGUUGUGUUAGCUAACAUCUCUAUCUUGUUUCAUAACUAUGGUUUCUUUUUUGUGAUGAUAACACUUAAGGUUUGAUCUCUUAGCAACUUUGAAGUUUAUAAUACAGUGUUGUUGUUGACUAUAAUCCUAUGUUGUGCAUUAGAUCUCCAGGACUUAAUUCAUCUUCUAGUGGCAAGUUUGGACCGUUAAACAAUAUUUUCCUGACUCCCCCUCACCCCCAACCUCUGCUAACCACCAUUAUACUCUCUGUAUCUAUGGGUUAGGUUUCUUUAGAUCCCAUAUGUAAGGGGUAUUGUCCGGUGUUUGUCUUUUUCUGAGUAAUGCCUUCACAGUUCAUCCAUGUUGUUGCAAAUGUCCUUCUUUUUCAUGGCUGAAUAAUAUUUCAUUAUAGGUGGCUAGGUAGAUAGAUGGAUGGAUGGAUUGAUAGAUAGGUACCACAUCUUCUUUAUUCACUCAUCUGUCCUUGUAUUGCCUUCAUUGUGGAGCUAACUCCAAUGCACUUGCUAAGACUUUGACAUUCUUCUUGUCCUAGAUUUCUAGGUCAGACCCUGUCCCUCUCUCCACUGCCUUGUAUCAAGGAAGGUGGACCCUUUUUAUUCCCAGAGCUUGCUGUCCACUCUGUUGCUAGUGUGGCACUGCUUAGAAUCUCCAACCACAGGGAGAAUUGAUGCUUGCUUGUCUGAUAUCCAUGUUGUCACAUUGCCAUGAAUACUGUAACUGGGUUGGGAGUCACUCUUUUCAGGGGUCAGUCAUAAAGUUGGAUCGGGCUCAUAUGCAAACCCAUGCAAUCCUGUCUCUGCUUUCUGACAUCUCAGUAAGUCUUGCAAUCAUGUCUGCGCACAUCAUGAUAACAGCUCUCUGUUUGAGUGGGGAGAAACCAAUGAUUAAAUGAGAUGUUUUGAUUACGUACCUAUUUCAGUGAGCUCUUUCCCCCACCAUCAUUUUUCUUGUCGCCAUGGAGAACUUAAAUUUUCUUUCUUUCUUUUGCUUUUGCUUAACCAUUUUGCUAGUUGUUGCAAAGGGGGACAAAGGAAUCUGCUGUUCUGCUCUAUAAAAUUGCCUAGAAAAUGAAAUUGAAGCCAACUUGGCUGUUUUUUUUUCUUGGUAAGGUUUAAUUCUUAUGCUUUCGUCAUGGCCCCAAAUGAAUGAUCCAUCUGAAACAAAGAAGGGCUGGAACUUCAGGACAAGGGAGGGAAGUGGGGGGGGGGUGGAGGUCAAACAUUGCCAAUACUAGACUUAAUUUGCCCAGCAGGAGAGCCAUGGCUAUGGGUGAUGUGGGCAGAAUGAUUUUUAAAAGAAAGCAAACAAGUGGAGACACAAUUUGGGAGAUUGAAUUUGGUUUUGUUUGUUUUGUGUGCAAAAUGAACUUGUGUGGGAAACAGAGACAUUAUCCAUGAAGAAUGCUAAGGUAAUUUAUGUUUCUUCCUUCCAUCAAUUACAUUCUGUGAGCUCUGAGUAGAAUUGUGUUCCAUUGAGUUACAGCCUUUGCACUUCCAGUCUCUAUAGAAAUGACUCUCUAGAGUAAUUUCAUAACCUGCACUGACAAAGAUAUAAUUCAUACUGUGUUGCCUUUUGUGAGGGCUUUAAAAAAAAAACAUGUACCAUUUCAUAUUUAUUUAUUUAUUUAUUUUUAAGUUUGACCAAGGAAAGGAAAAAUGCAUUUCUCCUUCCCACUAAAUUAUAAAACCAAUAGACUUAAGGGGAAAAGGCAAAAUCAGGCUUCCUAGCUUUGCGCAAAAACAAACAAACAAACAAACAAAAAAAAACAAAAAAAAAACCAACAAAAAAACCAACAACAACAAAAAAAACCAAACGUGAAUCACACAGAUCAUAGUUUUCUCAUAUGAAAAAUGACAGGAUUGCACUCCAUCAUUUCCAAGUUCAAUUCCCACUUCUAAAAAGUCUCAGAACCUCUGUUUCUAGGUUUAUUUUCCCCCAGGAAUGUAACUGCUGAAUGAAAUAGAAAGUUCCUCUAGAGACAUUUCUUUAGAUGAGAAUUCCUCUGUUGCAGAUGGCUUCCAUAGCAUUCUGGCUGACCGGCUUCCUCUGUGUGAUCUGGCAGAAGAUGAAGGUCGAAAGGAAAAGUGCCAUUUAAGGAAGGUUUGGGCUUAGUAGAGGACCCCCUGGCAGGUGGGAGACAAGAUGGUAGAGAGUCAGAGAAAAGCCCACACAUCUGUGUGGCUGAGGACUGGAGCCAGGGCGCCCGGGAUCUGUGAGAUCUAACAAUGGGGAAAGCACCCCAAGGAAGAUGAGUGAUAACAGGAACUAGGAGAACCUGCCAGUGAGGCCAACGGGCCAACAGCCCGGGGAUGACGUUGACUGGGGAGGCAGUGUGCUAUUUUGCAUUUGUCACCCCAUUUCUGUGUGGCCCAAUCAAUAGCCAACAGACAGGAGGUCUGCCCUGUGGGCUGGCAGGAGACUGUUAUUGAAAACAGCUCCCUGUGGAGAGGCAGGGGAUGUAGAUCAUUCUCCUGGCCCAACUGAUUUCCACCAAAGGGCAGAGCGUUCUCUUUGAAGCCUUGGGAUUGGUCUGAAGCAGCCCAGUUCAUUGAUCUGUGAGCUGGUGGUAUUUGCCAUUCUCUGUCCCCCAGGCACCUCUGUUUCCAAACAAAACUUGCAUAUUUCCUUCUCUAUCGGGGUAUUAAAAAUCUCCAUGGGCCCCAGGCCCUCUAACUUUUGGGUUCUUUCAAACAUAUUACAAUAAUUUAUAAUUUGCUUGUGAAAUUGGCCACCUAUUAUUUAAUUUACAUUUGGCCAAGACUUCCUACUGAUCAGCUAGCAGACUUCAGAAUUCUUCUGCAGUGAGAAAAAUCUAAUGCAACAUACAAAUUGUUUUCAGAGGUCAUACAAUUAUAUGGAUAAUAAAUGUAAAAAUGGAGGAAGUUGACAUACUGUUGUUUCACUGAGCAUUUACCAAUCUUUUAAAAAAAUGUUCUGGAACCCAAAUUUUCUUUAGCUUGUCAAUGCCCUUCAACCAAAGCUCACCAGGAACAUUUCCAUAUCUGAACAAGCGAGGUUUAUUACUUGUUGCAGUGAGGGAGACUGUAUACCGUGGAAAACCAUGGGACAUCUCAGGAGAAGGUGAUAGAAAGGAGCUUUGGGCUAGUGUUAGGGGAUUUGGGAGAGAGUUCAGGGAAGUGGGGCUUUGCUCUGGAUUGGGAAGGGGGUCAUUCCUAUUGGAUAUCUUUAUAAACCUUAUUUAGAAGGAGGGCAUGUUAAUGGAGGCUAAUGUUGUAAUAGGUAGAGCAGCCAGGGUCCCAUUUUAGCCAGGACAAGGGGAUGUUUGGUAUGUUUUGGCCUGGACAGUGUUCAUGUAUUGUUUGCAUUUUGAUAUGAUUUUGGAGUGGUCUUGUUUUGUCUUGAUUCAUCCUACUUAACAAUGGCCUUGUCUGAUGCAGGUGUUUUGUGAAAUUGUUUAUGUUCAACAGGAGAACACCAAGGUUCUCAUAUGGGCUUCUUGAAUAGGCUUCUCUUGCACACAGCUCCUGUGACCCUUACCACAGAUAAGGAGAAUUUGGAACAAUGCAGGGAGAACAGGUGGCCAUCCAUGGGCACCCUCUUUUAUACUCACCCAGGAUGGGGCGGGAGGAAUAAAGGUUUUCUGUAUGCAGGGGAGAGGUGCACCCUGACUGUAGCCUGGUACAUCUGGUGGGAAUGAAAGGCAAUUUAAUGGAAGCUAGAUAUAGCUAAGCUCUUUAUAACACCAGGAAAAACUUUUUUGGUUUUAUUGUCUUUUGUUUGGAAAGAGAGCAAAAGCCCAACAUGUUUCUCCAAGUCAUAAAGCAUGUCAAGAACAUCAUUAAGAGUGCGAUCGUUGGUUUUGGGUUUUCAUUCAUUUUUUCCCCUCACUUAGAACUUCUAGAAACUUUUAUUGUUUAUGCCACUUUUUGUCCCUUGUCCUCUGUUCCACUUUCUCGUUUGAAACUUUCAAGCCUUCAGAAUAGUUGAAAGAGUGAACUCAGAGCACUCUUCACCCAGAUUCACCAAAUGUUGACAUUUUGCUACAUUUUCUUUCUCUGCCAAAUCAUUUGAAAGAAAGUUUUAGACAUUACGACAUUUUGCUUCCAAAUACUUCAGGAUAUGUAUCCUAAGGACAGAGUCAUAUUCCCCUACAUAAUUGCAACACUGUGUAUACAGGUGUGAACGUGUGUGUGUGUGUGUGUGUGUGUGUGUGUGUGUGUGUGUGUGUGCGUGUUAUAGAGAUCUUCUUCUGAGCCAUUUGAGGAUAAGCUGUCAACAUGAUGCCCCAUCACCCCUGAAUAUUUUAGUGUGUAUUUCCUAUAAACAAGAAUAUUCUCUACAGACCUGCGAUGUAAUCACCAACACCAGAUUAACAAUAAUCUGUUACUACCAUCUAAUACCCAGAUCCCUUUCAAAUUUCUCCAGUUGUCCCAAUUAUGUGCUUCAUAGCAACAGAAUCUAGUCCAAAAUUGCAGUUAUUUAGUUGUCAUGUCUUUUUAAUUCCUUCAAUUUGUGACAGUUCCUCUCUGUUUCCUUGACUCUCAUGACUUGACACUUUGGAAGUUUAUAGACAGGGUAUUUUGUUGGAUGUUCCUCAGUGAGAUUGUCUCAUGUCCCCUCUUGAUGAGCUGCUCAGGAGUGAUACAGGCUCAGGAGUCACUUACUGCAUUACCAUGCGGUUGUCCUCACUCUGCCCAGGCUCUGACUCCCUGCCCUGGCUACUCCUUUGCCUUGCUUGGGCUCACAUAACCUGUGCCAGGAUAUCUUCCUCACCCCAUUUGGGUAAGUGUGGCUUAAAGAGAGUAGGCUGACUUCCUGGGCUGGUUACUGUAGAAAACGGGUUGGUUUCCUAGGCUGCCUGCUGCAGAUUGUGAGUCAGAGUUCUAUUUUUAUAUAUUGUCUGGUCAUUAUUUAUUUGGAUUUUUAGUCUUUCGGUAAACUGACACCUGAUGAGUCCUCCCUUCACUUCCCCUUUGUGUUAGUCUGAACUCUCCAGAGAAACAGAACCAAUAGAAUAUACAUACAUAUAGAAAGAGAUUUAUUAUAAGGAAUUGGCUUACAUGAUUAUGGAGCUGGUACAUCCAAAAUCUUAGGGUGGGCCAGCAGGCUGGAGACUCAGGGGGUUAAUGUUCCAGUUUGAGUCCAAAGGCCAUCUGCUGUACAAUCAGGAAAAGGUAGUGUUAUGGAUGAAAUUUGAAGACAGUCUGCUGGAGAAUUCUCUUUUGCUUGGGGAAGAAUCAUCUUUUUGUUCUAUUCAGGCCUUCAACUGAUUGCAUGAGGCCCACCCACAUUUUGGGGGACAGACUGCUUUACUCAAAGUCCUUUAUUUAUUUAUUUAUUAAUAUGAUUUAUCAUCAAGUUGGCUUACAUACAACACCCAGUGCUCAUGCCAACAAGUACCCUCCACAAUGCCAAUCACCCAUUUUCCCCUCUCCCCGCCGCCAAUCCACCCUCAGUUUGUUCUCCUUAUUUAAGAGUCUCUUGUGGUUUGCCUGCCUCCCUCUCUGUAAGUAUUUUUUUCCCUUCCCUUCCCCCAUGGAUUUCUGUUAAGUUUCUCAAGAUCCACAUAGGAGUAAAUACAUGAUAUCUGUCCUUCUCUCUCAAAGUCCAUGAUUUAAAUCUUAAUCUCAUCCAAAGCACCCUCACAGAAACAUCCAGAAUAAUGUUUGACCAACUAUCUGGGCACGUUGUGGCCCAGCCAAGUUGACAUAAAAUUAACCAUCACAAUCCCCCCAGCUAGUCUCCUAGAAAUAUGUGAAUCUCAAGGUCUGCCAGUGACUUACUUUCUCUCAAGUUACACCCCUACUUCAUGUUAAUCCAACAAAGUGAUAUGAAGUCUAGAGACUCUCUUCAGCUUCUCUAGGUGCUCAUGCAGAGCCACCUCUGUGUUUGUGGCAGGACUUGUGAGUGGAGAUACCUUCCAUAGGGCCCUCAUUUCAACUGGAUGUGAGGAGAAGAGGCACAUUCAUUGUUAUAGGAAAGAACAAGUUUUCCAAAAGUAAGGGGUUGUGAUAUUAUGCAUGUCCUUUCAUGUUUACUUGUCUUUGAGCCAAAUGGGCUCAUUUCAUCUCUCUGAGAAGGCCUUCGCCAAUCGCGACAGCAAUGAGGUAGGCAGUUUAGAAAACUGACAGGAUCCCUCAGAAAUCUUUGACUGGGGGAAUCUACCAGUGCCCCUGGGAGAUCAAAGUGCAGAGAGCAAGAUGGUACAUUUCUCUUCUGCCCUGACUCACUGGAGCUGAUAGGGUAGAGACUGAGCAUCUCAAAGCAGUGUGGCAGCUGUGUUGCUGAGUGGCAUAUUAUCUACCACAAGAUCACCCCAUUUAAAAUGAUUUUUUUAAGUCUCUUACCGGUUUUUUUUUUUUUUUUUUAAUUCUCCUUGUCGGUCAAGAAUGUAAAAUGCAGAGUCUUAUCAGUAGUAUUCAAAGCAGAUUUAAAAUGUGAUUGCUCUUUGCUCUCUCCUAGUACAAUCCAGUUUGGAUCAUCAUCUCAUCUGAUAUAAGGAAGUCUCUUGAGCUGAAACUGAAACCCCCCAUGCAUUCCCCUCCCUCUUCCUUUUUUUCUUCCCACUUCUACUUAUUCACCCACAUCUUCCCAUCUAAGACUUAUUUAUUAAGCAUGAUGUCAGUCAUUGGGGUAUAGACAUAAAUCAAGACCAGCCCUUGAUUUUUGAUAUGAUUGCUUUCUGACAGGGGAGGUAGAAAUAAAAACAAACCUUCAUAAUGCACUGUGGUAAAAACUGACUCACUAAGAUAAAAACAAAGAGAGAGGCAAAUUAUAAGAGACUCUUAAAUACAGAGAACAAACUGAGGGUUGCUGGAGGGGUUUUUGGGUGGGGGCAUGGGCUACAUGGGUGAUGGGCACUUGUUGGGAUGAGCACUGGGUGUUAUAUGUAAGUGAUGAAUCACUAAAUUCUACUCCUGAAACCAUUAUUACACUAUAUGUUAACUAACUUGGAUUUAAAUUAAAAAAAAAAAACAACUGACUCAGGAUGACCAAAUCUGAGGAAACUGAGGCAGGAAUUCCAAGGAGGGUCAUGUUCUGCCGAUUCUUUAAGAGAUAAGUUGGGAGUUUUCUAGGCACACAGAGCUGGAGGUGGGAUAGUGUCCCAGGGAGAGUUGACACCAUAGUAUGAAGAAAUAGGACUCCUAGGUGAAUCAAGACAAUUUCUGUCCUGGGUCCAUGCUGUGGGUUCUUCCAUAGCAUCCAAGACCUGCCUGGUCAAAUGAGCAUUUUUUUUCUUUUUUCCAUUUUCACAGACCCUACUCCUCACCCUUCCAUUGCUUUACCAACGCUCAGAUUGCUGUCUUUGCCCUCUGAAGCAUCUUUCUGAUGUGUGGCAGCCUCUCUCUGUGGGCACGCUGACCUUGGCCUUGUCCAGCUUUCCAUCUUUCACUCAGGGCUCAGGGCUGUGAGUGAUUCUGAUGAAGUCUUGUGAUCCCAAAAGAGCUGCAGUGAGAGCCUGCUCACCAUCCCAGCUUUACAUGAAAUAUCAGGCAGUGAUUCACCAUCAUUCAGAAACUUGUCAGUUCAUAAAUUCAAAGCAACUCCAUUUCCUUUGCUUUUGAACAGACAAAAUUGGAUGGCCCAUGGACCAGAGCCGUUAACUGGGAUGUUAAGAACACCCUAGUCCUGUGUUGUUUCCCAUGAGCCCAGGGCAGAAAUGCUUAUGCUAUUUACCUAUGUCAAACAGGCUGACGUCCUUUGGGAGAAGUAGGAGUGUGAAAAUGUGGCCGCACUGCCAAUAAUAUGAGAGGAGGUUGAAAAUAGCAGAUGGAGGUUGUAAUUAGGGCCAACAGAAAUAGGAAACUGCUGCUAGGUCAUCCGCCUGGUACCCAGCGCCGGCCUAUUAGCGGUCAUUAGCCCUUAUCCAGGAAACAAUUUACAUCCGUUGAAAUCCUUAUAAAUUUGGAUUUCUGCCCACACACCCAUCAUCCUGCUUUUUCUUGUGGAUUAAAGAGGUGGCCCCUGAGCUGCUUCUCUCUGUGAGCAGAAAGUGCUAUCCUCUGGCCCUAGAAGCGGGUCGGGUCACCACCCGACCUAACAGCAAUCUGACUGUGGGCUUGUAUUAUCACAGGGUGGAAGAGACUUUAAAAGUGUAUCCUGUCCCAUCUCAUGCCCAGCAGACUCCACCCUCCUCCAAAGCUGGGAGGUUGUAAAGUCUAUUGGAGCUUAACAACUUGUCAGAGAAAUCCUUCCCAGGGACCGCAUAGCCUUCAAGUUUAGAAUUUCUUUGUGCUUUUCCUUUGGUUAUUCUCAGUCUUGAAUUUGGCUCUAUUAGGCAUAUAUAUAUAGCUGGGUUUUGUGGGAUUCAGCUUUAAACGAGCCUUCUCAACCAGAGGGAUGACCCAUUUGAGGCAGGUCACCAUGUUGGGUAACCCUGUUCCUAGGUUCCCCUUGGCUUCUGUCUGCUUCAGUCUCCUGUGUGUCAGUCUGAAUCUUCUCCUUUCUCAGGUAAUUUGAAUCUUGAUUUUUCCUUUUCAAGAGUAAUUUGAUCCAAAGGAAGAAGCACCAGAUAGGUGCCAGAAAGCCUGUGUUGGGGCUGUGCUCUCGUCUCUUCUGGAACCCGUGGUCACGACCUCUGUUUACAUAACAAGCUAACAUCUCUGAGCUCCAGCUUCUCUCUGUCUUUCCCUUCCUCCCUCCCUUCCUUACAGAGUUGUUGCAAGGCUAUAAAAACCAUGUUACAAGGAAUGUUGAGAACUUUUAUAAAUGGAUCAUGGAAGACAUUUAAAGAGGUUCACUUCACUUCCUACCCCAAGGGUUAAAACUCAAGAAGGUCUGUCUUUUUUUUCAACUCUGUUUGACAUGAGAAUCUCUUUGGUAUCUCCACUUAAAAAUUAGAGACGAAAUCUUUAUGACGAUUUACCACCUUCUCCUUCUCCCUCCAUUUUUACUCACCUUUUAAGGGUCGCCCCCUCAAAUAAAGUCUAUCUUUUAUAUUCAUCCUAUAGUAGUCUCCUUCCUUCCUGACCCACACUCACAGAACAUGGUUGUCCUUAACACAUAUUUUAGUGCCUGGUUGUUUCUUGCUGGUGUUAUUCAAAAGUCAUCUUAGAUUUUUAGUUUUCUCUCCUCGAUUAGAGAGUGUAGCUCUAGAUUUCACCUCCAUUGAAGAGCUUAUCCCAUUACACUUAACUUUUAUGUUCAGGUUUUAUUUCACUACUUGCCUACAGGUGCUUGAGGGCAGGGUGGAUGGGUCACAUUCAUUUUUAUAUCUCUAGUGCCUGCUACUUACUAGUUGUCAGUAAAUAUUUGUAGAAAUGAGCUAGUAACCUUCAUUGUGAUCUUGUACCAACAGCAUGUGGGUUAGGUAGCAGAAGCUGUAUAUGAGUAUGCCGCAUUAAAGAGGAUCAUACACAUUCUCUUUUGAACUUCUAAUUACUUUGCACACACAAACGUGGCAGUUGGAGUUACUAUUCCUGGAGACCCCUGCAAAUGUCUCCCUCUGCUGGGAUUCUGAUCUCCCCUACCCCACCCUCACAGGUGACCUCUUAGACUUGGAAUGAUAUAAUUGGGAGGGUGUGUGGACAACACUCCUAGGUGGCCCCAAUUUCAUUCUCCUUUUCUUCCUAGAUCAUAGAACUUUUAGCUGGCCCCAUGUUCUUCCAGCCAUCCUGGCAGUCAGUUGUGGCUCUGUGUCCACAUUCUCAGUCACGAGUGUCACCUCCUUGGAGAGAGUGUGGCUUCCACUUCUCUUUUCCCCAUUCCAGUGGAUGAGGGCAAACCUCUAGGAAUGGCAGAGCAGUAAAACAGACACCAGGCACCUGAGCCCCUGUGUUGUCAUGGAGCAGAGCCAUUAUACCAGGCUUCAGCUUUUGAGUGGGAGACCAUGGUUCUGUUUCAGCAGCUAAAGCUAUGUUUUACUUAAGCAGGGGCCAAGGAGAUGGUUCAGUCUUUUUGUAAAUUAUUAUUAUUUGUUUUCUGGCUGCAUUUCUUUUUUUUUAAAUAUAAUUUAUUGUCAAGGUAGCUAACAUACAGUGUAUACAGUGUGCUUUUGGUUUUUGGGGGGGGGGUAAAUUCCUAUGAUUCAUCACUUACAUGCAACACCCAGUGCUCAUCCCAACAAGCUCCCUCCUUGAUGCCCAUCAUCCAUUUUCCCCUCUCCACCUCCCACCCCAGCCAUCAACCCUCAGUUUUUUUUCUGUAUUUAAGAGUCUCUUAUGGUUUGCCUCCCUCUCUGUUUGAAACUAUUUUUUCCCCUUCCCUUCUCCCAUGGUCUUCUGUUAAGUUUCUCAAGUUCCACAUAUGAGUGAAAACGUAUGAUAUGUGUCUUUCUCUGACUGACUUAUUUUGUUCUUUUUUUUAAAGUUUUUAAUUUAUUUUGGAGAGAGAGAGAGGGAGAAAAAGAAUGAGUAUGGGAGGGGCAGAGAGAGGGAGACACAGAAUCAGAAGCAGGCUCCAGGCUCUGAGCUUUCAGCACAAAACCUGACAUGGGGCUCAAACCCGGAAGCCGUGAGAUCAUGAUCCAAGCCAUGGUCGGACGCUUAACCGACUGAGCCCCCCGGGCGACCCAGAGACGGUUCAGUCUUAUCUCUUGUCUUACAGAUGAAGACAUUGAGGUCCAGAGUGGCCAGCCUGUUUACCCAGUGCAGUGGUGGGGCCCGUGAGUCUAAAACUCCAGCCCAGGGUCUAAUCCUGACCAAGCAGCACAUUCUCAAAUGUGAACCCCGUGAUUAUUCCUUCAGUGAAGGCAGGGAGGAGGGGUCUGUAAGUUCUUGCAAAUGACAAUCCUGAAGAUGUGUAGGCAGGGAUAGUUUCACUGGACAAUACCCUCUUUCUUUUGCAGUGUAUAAACAGGCUGGGAUGGGCAGAGUGGGUGGAAAUCCAGGACCUAGUGCAGCCAAGGAGGGCUCAGUCCCAAAUGCCAUCUAUUUUAAUAUGGUCAGGACCGGAGCCAGGCAGCUACAAGUGUAGGAAUGCAGUUGACUUAAACCCACAUACAGGCCAGGGAUGAGCCUUAGAGAGAAGCGCAAGCAGAUCUUAGGAGAAAAGUAGGGUUUUGAACCACACUGAAUUUUGGGAGGUAACUGAGCAGAGAGGCUUCCUGGGCCAGAGUUCUUGCUGUUAGGGGGAGGAGGAGAGGAGAAGGAAGUGCUCCAUGCCGAGGUCCGGACCACCAGGAGUGUCCUCUAGUUCUGUGCCUAUCUACUUGUUAGGCAAUUAUGCUGGUGUUUUCACCAGCAUAUGUCUCUAUGCAAGAUCCUGUAAUUAGGUUCUUUUAUAAAUCAUGAAUUCUGUAUACAAAACAGGGAAAUGUCCCAUGAUGAAAUUAUGUAAUGAUAGCAGGCUAUGUGCUUUUAAAACUAAAAAUAUUCAAGGUGGGCCAACCAGCUGGCGAGACAAAAAGGCAGUGUGGCCUCUGGGAGGAGCUGUGGCAACCCGGUCCUCAAGGUGGGGGUCAGCUGAGGUCAUCUGACUUCUCUGUGUGCAGGGCUCCCAUUCAUGGGGUCUCCAAGGUGGGCUUUCUCUGGAGCUGUUGCCUUCAGAGUGCUUUUUGAGCCAUGGAGCAGCUAAAACAGAGAGGCUUACGCACUAGGGAAAUCUGGUAUUUCCUUUGACCAAAUAAAAAGCUCUUAGAACUGGAAAGAAAACAAUCAUUCAGCAGUUAAUUCGUGUCACCUCCCCCCUCUCCCCCCUCCCCGCCACUGCCCUUUGAACUCAGGCUUGGAGAAAUAACAUUUUCAAGUUCACAAAGCAGGUCAUUAGAAAGUCCAGAAAGCCAAGACAUGCGGCGCCUGGGUGACUCAGUUAAGUGUCAGACUCUUGAUUUCGGUUCAGGUCAUGAUCGCAUGGUUCGUGGGAUUGAGCCCUGUGUCGAGCUCUGUGCUGACAGCCUGGAGCCUCCUUGGGAUUCUCUCUCCCUAUCUCUGCUUCUUCCCUGCUCAUGCUCUUGUGUGCAUGCACACUCUCUGUCUCAGAAUAAAUAUAUAAACUUAAAAAAAAAAAGAAAGAAAAACAAGAGCCAAGACCCCUGCUGUCCAAGGUGGUUUUCACACUGCCCUAAAUGCAAAUAGGAACUUGGCCAUCACCUUCAUAAUCACCUAAAACACAGUUAUGGUCUAUUUAUCCUUAAAAGAAGUGAACACAUAUGGUAAUCUGUAUUGAAACUGAAACAGAAGGGUAGCGUUAACUUGCACACCCGGAGAAUACAUCCCUUAAAGGGUUAUGAUUUCAUGGCCUGACUGGCUGUGUGUAAGCUCCGAGGAGUUGAAGCCAAGUCGUUCUGGGCCAGGAUCCUGAACAAUAGGAUGGAGUGAAUAGACUCUCUUGAGUAUAUCUCAAAGGAGAGUAACUUUGCUUUAAUUAGAAUGAUGAAUUGUGUGGGCUGAGGUGAGCCCACACACACACAUGCAGGCAUGCAAAUUGUUCAUUAGGAAACUAUGGAGAUCCUUCCAUGUCCAUGGUUUUAGAAAUGAGAGAAUGGUAAAGGGAAAGGUGAAUACCCAUAAGGGAAGCUGAGUUUUAGUAAUGAAAAGGGUUUUGGUUCUAUAAACUCAGAGACCUGAAGGGUCAGAGUUCUCUGUUAUCUCAGGAAGCGACUCAAGCUGGACGUGGGAUUGAGGGUGGUUAGAAAUAGGUGGAGGCUACAGGGGGGUAGGAGGGAGUGUGCUGAAGAGAACAAGGUCUCAGCGAGCUGGAGAAGAAAAGAUUUUUGAAUCAGUCACACAAAGAAGGCUUGGACUGGGAAUUGCUUGGAUUUUUUGCCUAGGAUGAAAGAAUCCAAACUCAUGCAGUCUCAUUUGGCCUUUUCCACAAAGCUGGAUAAAAUUGGAUUCUGUCUUCCUCUCUAGAGACAUGUACUUGGUAAUCUAUACACAGUGUGUGUCCUCAGUCUAUAUAUUGAUCACCUGUGAUAAAAUGGUUUGGUUGUAAGGCCUGGUCUGGAAGUCUACCACUGCCAUGAUGGCUUUAAAAAAACACACAUCUAGGGGCUCCUGGAUGGCUCAGUCGGUUAAGUGUCUGACUCUCGGUUUCGGCUCAGGUCAUGAUCUCACGGUUCAUGAGUUCGAGCCCCGCAUUGGACUCUGUGCUGACAUCACGGAGCCUACUGGGAUUCUUUUUCUCUCCUUCUGUCUCUGCCCCUCCCUUUCUCAUUCUCCCUCUCUCUUUCAAAAUAAAUAAAUAAACUUAACUCCCCCCCAUACAUUUAUAUUAUCAUGGUGAAAUAUACAUAACAUAAAAAUUGCCAUUUUAACCAUUGUAAGUGUCCAGUUCAGUGGCAUUAAGUAUAUUCACAAUGUUGUGCAAUCAUUACCACGAUUUCUUUCCCAAACUUCUUAAUCAUCUCAAAUAGAAAUUUUGUGCCCAUUAAACAAAAACACCUCAUUUCUGCCUCUCCCCAGACCCUGGUAAGCUUUAAUGUACUUUCUAUCUCUAUGAAUUUGGCUAUUCUAAAUAGUUCAUAGAAGUUGAAUCAUACAGUGUGUGUGUGUGUAUAUAUAUAUACACACACAUAUAUGCAUACAUACAAACGUACAUACAUACUUUUUUUUUGGUCUGGUUUAGUUCACUUAGCAUAAUGUUUUAAAGGCUUACCCAUUUGUAGCAUGUAUCAUAACUGUAUACAUUUUUAUGGCUGCAUAAUUUUGCAUUGUAUGUCUAGACAGCAUUUUGUUUAUCCAUUUACCUGUUGAUGGACAUUUGAGUUGUUUCCACCUUUUGGCUGUUGUGGAUAAUGCUACAGUGAACAUUGGUGUACAGUGUUUGAGUCUCUGUUUACGAUUCUUCUGGAUAUAUAUCCAGAAGUAGAAUUCCAGGAUCAUAUGGUAAUUCUAUGUUCAACUUUCUGAGGAACUGGCAAACUUUUUUCCACAGUGGCUGCCCUAUUUUGCCUUCCUAUUGCAUUUUGCAUUAUCUUUAUUAUUUAUGUGUGUUUCAGAAAGGAGUUGGUUAGAAAAACAGAAGCUGUUCUAUAUGUGCUGGAGAUAAAGGGUUCAAAAUUGAAUUGGGAUCUUACUCAUAAGUUGGAAUAUUUAGGGGAGAGGAGAUCAGAAAAGCUGCAGCAAAGGUUUGAGACAGUUGUCCCUGAAAGUCAGAGAGGUUGGCACUGAGGACCUCAGCCUGGAGCUUAGCACCAGCUCUCAAAACUUGCCUGGCAUUGUUGACACUCUGCAAGAAGCUCCUACCAAAUGUCUCCGUCUAUGGUGGUGAAGAACUCAGCAGGAACACGUGGGGAGUCUCUCAUCUGUCCACAAAUCUGGCCAUAACUGGUUUUGAAAACUGAUGACUCCCCAAUCUCAUUGGAAGACUAGCCCAGAACUGUCCAGAGAAGGAGAUCUUGGGGAGUAUGGUUGCUAUUCUCAGAAGGGAGAGGCGAUGGUAUCAGCCCAUAGCAGGUAGACCAGCACAAUUUACAUUCUUCUUUAGUACAUAAAGGAUUAUAAGUAGUUUAUAAAGAUGUAGAAAAUUUGACCAAGGGACAUAAAUUCAAAUUUGAGCAAAUGAAAUCAAAAAGAUAAGAGGAAAGAAUAAAAAUGGAGCCAGAAAUAAGGCUAAGCAUGACUGCCACCAUCAUCUAUACAUUGACCACAGAGUUCACACUCUCCACAAGAUAAAAAUUGCUCAAGAGAUUGAAAAAUGUUCUUAAGGUAUUAAGGUCAGACAAGAAACUCUCUCAAGGGACAGGAAGUCUUCCCCUGAGGAGAUCAAGAAAAGGCUGACGCCAUGGGGUGACUUGUGGGAGUAGCACUUGGCUGUGCCUGGAAGUGUACCACGGGGGUUGUAGUUGCUGCUAAUUUACCUCUUGUUAGGGACGGAAUUGCGUCAGCCAACCCCACCCUCCCCACACAUAUGCUGAGGUCCAAAUACUCAGUGCUUCAGAAAGUGACUAUAUUUGGAGGUACUGUCUUUAAAGAGGUAAUUAAGUUACAAUGAGGUCAUUAGGGUGGACUGUAAUCCACGAUGACUGGUGUCCUUAUAAGAGGAAAUUAUGACACCAUCAUGCGCAGAAAACAGACCAUUUGAAGGCACGGGGAGAAGAUGGGCCUCUACAAGCCAUGGAGAGAGCCCUUGGAAGAAAUGAGCUCUCUGGGCACCCUCAUCGCAGAUGUUCAGCCUCCAGAAUUAUAGGAUAAUAUUUUCUGUUGUUUAAGCCACCAAGUUUGUGGUACUUUGUUCUGGUGGCCCUGGCAAAUUCAUACACUUCCCAUAUCUAAAACUGACAUCAUUUACUGAGGUGGGGUUGUGCCCGGGAUUCGUUGGGGCUACAUUAUCUUUAGUUUCUAAUUUGACAAGUGUUUCUUGAGCACAUAGCUAUGCAGGCCCCUGUGCAAGGCCUUCAAGGAAUGUGAACACGAGGAAGACAGUCUCAGGCUUCAGAGAGCUUAUAAACCAGGUGACAUAACUCUGGCGAGAUGCGGCGAGUGUAAAUAUAAGGCCAGUGCUACGUGAGCAAAGAUGCGGGAGAGAUUCAUUGCAGCAAGGGGACCAGGGAGGUCUUUAGAGAGCUGGUAAUCAUUUAACUUGGAUCUUAAAGGAGAAUGAGAAGGGCUUUCCUAAGAGAGUGUGUGUGUGUGUGUGUGUGUGUGUGUGUGUGUGUGUAUGUUUUGAGGCAGUGAGUAUCUGUGAGGCUAAAACUCUCCGCUUCUCAGGACUUGGACUCCAGACAGGUGCUGUGGGCAGGCAGUGCUGAGGUUUGGCUCAACUUAAAAGCUCCUGCUGGGUGGGAAUGACUUGAUGAUCAGAAAUCGAUCAAGCUUAAUGUUAAAAUUCUGCUUUGCUUUGGGUGACAGGAUUAUGUCCUCUGUGUUUUGAAACAAGGAUGGAGGUGCACAGAGGGAAACUGGCAAGGGUGACUUGCAAGGCAUUUAGUUCCCUCAUUCAGGAAACUUCCCUCUGCUCCUUAGUGACUGUGGGAAUUCCUUUCAGCUUCUCUUGCCAAAACUGAGUGAUGAACAAAAGCGUCUGUCUGGGAGUUUAUGGGCUAAGCUGGGAUAGUCAGACUCACAUACACAGCAUCUGAGAACCUGUUUAAGGACUUUAAGUGGCUGUGUAGGAACCAGGCUGUGUGGGCACCAGGCUAUGUGGGCACCAGGCUGUGCGGGCACUGGCUGUGUGGGUACUGGGCUGUGUAGGUACCUGCGUGGGCAGUGGGCUGUGUGGGUACCUGCUUGGGCACUGGGCUGUGUGGGCACUGGGCUGGGGCUGGUCCAGGGGUAGACUAGCCUGUCCAGCUCAUAGUUCCAGCUCGGGCCAAGACAGCAGGCUAGGACAGGCAUUUGGAGUCCAGGUGUCCCCCUCCUCCCUGAGUCCCACACCUUAUGGCACUGCCACCGACCGGGCGCCUCUCGUAAACAGACACCAUUUUAGAAACUAGUGAGUGAGAGAUGGCUGAAGACACCAUGGGGUGAGGUUUGUUCGGCUGUGGUCACAGAGAAAGCCAAGACAAGUUCCCCUGCAUUCGACAGCAUUUCAGUGGUGCUGGUCCUUGACACACCCCCUGUUGGUUGAAUGAAUCAAUCCUGAACCCCCUGAUGGUGUGUCCAGAGCACCAGGAAGAGCAGCAGGUGAGGGGCGGCUGAUGUGGCUGCAGCACAGGGGUGAGUUCUCAUGCUAGUCACCGUGUCCCGGAGAAGAGAGGCCAGGGCUUGCAUCCAUCCCUGCUCCCAACAGCUGGGCAGCUGGGCAGCUCGCUCAAGGUGUGAAAGUGCGACCUUCCUGGCGGGAAAACAAAGGGCUGGGGACAUCUCCAAGGCUACUCCCAGCGCUGAGGAAUUGGGGGUCUAUGAAUUAUACUCACUUUUCUUUUGAGCAGGUAACUUUUGGUUCACUUUGAUUUGGAUCCUGAGAGAUGACAGGAAUUAUUCAGGAAGAUCUAAGGGUAUGUCAAAUGAGGGGCUGGGGAGAGUGGGUAAAGGAGGAGGAGAGGGGACAUGAGAGGGACCAGGAAAGAGAGAUGAAGAAAAAAUCCAGUGUUCCUAAUGGGCUUUGUCUGGGUUGGGCCGUUUGAUUGAUGGAGCCCUGGGCUGAUCAAUAUAAGAUGCCUUAUUCAGCCUCUAUCAGUUGCUGAUUUUCUCUGAUCUGAGAACACUAUUUGCACAUAUGCACUGUGGAUCCCAGGGAGACCCCAAGGAGAAAGUUCAGAUGGCUCUCUACAAAUUCAUCCCCAACACCAGAGAAGUAGCUCCAAGUAUUUGCAUGCAUGGUCCUGAGUCAGUGGCAUUGUCUCAACAGGCGUGAAAGCUUCUAGGUAUUGAACAGUCAUAAUGAGCUAGACCCUGUCUCUAGCUCUUUAACAGGGAUUAUCUCAGCAACCCUAUAAAGUAAGUAUAAUUAUUAUCCCCAUUUUAUUUUAUUUAUUUUUUUAGGGGGUGGGGAGAGGGAGAGAGGGAGAGAGGGAGAGAGGGAGAAAGAGAGAAAGAGAGAGAGAGAGAGAGAGAGAGAGAAUUUCAAGUAAGCUUCAUGCCCAGCACCAAGCUCAACAUGAGGCUCAAUCUCACGACCCUGAAAUCAUGACCUGAGCUGAAAGCAAGAGUCGCACACUUAACCAACUGAGCCUCCCAGGUGCCUCUAUUAUCCCCAUUUUAGACCUAGUUUGGGAAAGUAACUUAUCUGAAGUCACUUAGUACUUUGCCUGAGUCACUUGGUCUGAGUCCAGAGCCCACACUGGUAUUUGCAAUAAACCAUGGGCUCCCUAAACAAGAACCAUUGUCUCUCCAGGUCCAAAGUACUCACUGAAUGAAUGAAUGAAUGAAUGAAUGAAUGAUGGAAGGGCAGUGAAGUCUAUGACUGUAAGGCUGGUAAGAAGAUCUAUAUCCUAUCCCAAGAAUCAAAUUUCCCUAAUAGAUUUCCAAGGCAAGCUCUAAAAACAGAGGUCUGUUUUUCAGCAAUGCCCAUGCAUCAUUGCAGUUUUUAAUUUUUAUUGUUGCAGUCACAAGGGCCCUGGAUGACACACUGUUCCCUUGUGACUGAGCUCAGCAUCCUGAAGUUUCCUAGAGGAACCAACCUUGAGACUCUUAGGGACACUGUGGUCCUCUUCCCAGCCCAUCCUCAUGGUGACCUGCACCCCUGAGGUAUCCUCAAUACACUCAAAGGAAACAUAUUUUGGAAGAAAGGAUGUAACGGAGCCCAGGGUCCAAUCCUGCAUUUGGCUUAGCCCCAAGGACACUGCACAUAAGUCAGAAAUAUGAUUUCCAGUUGACUCCAUGGGAUAUUCAUUUCAAAAGAGUUGUCCUUCUUGUCUGUUUACCACAUAUCUCUUUGUAGAAGUCUCUGCUUUUCUAGAAUUUUUAUACUUUCUCUAGCAUUUUGUGUUUUGGUAAUUGACUUACAAGAAUAGUUCUGCAACAUAAAUCAACAAUGAAAAGCAAAUUACCCCUGCCCGCAUCUUUUCAUUCCUUUCUCAUCUCAAACGAUAUUUUCUGUAUGAUGACUAACCCAGACUGACGUAAUUUGUCAAUCGAUCUCCACGAUAUACAUUAGAAAACGCAUUGCACAGGGCCCAGCAUGCAGCACUUCGUGUGAGCCACAUUGCUUUAGAAAACCUAUUAGUGGAACAGAAAUAUCUAGAGCUCGGCCCGGCCUUUUUGCUGAGAAUAUUAGAACUGGUGAUAAUUACUUUAUUAAUCAUAAGGUGUAACAGCAGUGCGUAUGUCACGGCAGCCAUAAAAUAAGUGCUUUUAUGGCAAAUGUAGUUAAAAAGAAAUGACUGAUUGGAUUUAUGGUACUCAGCAGUUAAAGAAAAAAAGGGAAUCAUGCAUUUUCUUUCUUUAGUUAAAUGUUCAUUAAAUGUGUACCACUAAGAGCUAUUUGUAAUAAUUCCCUAGUGGGUCCGUGUCCUAGGAGAAUUUAUUUUAAAAUACAAAUUAAAGCUUAAAUUAGCUUUUAUUAAAAAAAUAUAUAUAGUGCAUCAACAUUUGAUCUCCUGAGAGAAGGGAGAGAGCGGUGCAGUCACGCUGAAGAGAAGGAUCUGGUAGAAGGAACCUGGAGGCUAUGUUUGCCUUUGGGGUUCAGGUGGAGCUUCUUGGCACUUACCACUUGAGGGUAGCAGAACUUUGGAGGCUAUGGUCCAGACAGAAGAUGCAACUCAGCUAUGCUCUGAAGGCAGGGAAACCACAAUGGUCAAGGUUUACAUUUAGGGUGAUGUUUAUAUUUCCAUCAUUAAAGCAAAUCUUUGAAGUUUUUUUGCAUGUGUAUAAAUUUCCAUUGUUUAUUUGUUAAAAAAUUUUUUAAUAUAAUUCAUUGUCAAGUCAGCUAACAUACAGUGUAUACAGUGUGCUCUUGGUUUCGGGGGUAGAUUCCCAUGAUGCAUCGCUUACAUGAAACACUGUAACACAUACAGUGCUUAUCCCAGAAAGUGCCUUCCUCAAUGCCCAUCCACCCAUUUUCCCCUCUUCUGCACCCUCCCACCAACCCUCAGCUUGUUCUCUCUAUUUAAGAGUUUCGUAUGGGUUUUCCUUCUUCUCUGUUUGAAACUAUCUUUUCCCCUUCCUGUCACCCCUGGUCUUCUGUUAAGUUUCUCAAGUUCCACAUAUAAGUAAAAACAUAUGAUAUCUGUCUUUCUCUGACUAACUUAUUUCACUUAGCAUAAUACCUUCUGGUUCCAUCCACACUGCUGCAAAUGGCAUGAUUUCAUCCUUUCUCAUUGCUAAAUAGUAUUCCAUUGUAUAUAUAAACCACAUCUUUAUCCAUUUGUCAGUUGAUGGACAUUUGGGAUCUUUCCAUGAUUUGGCUAUUGUUGGAAGCACUGCUAUAAACAUUGGGGUACACGUACCCCUAUGAAUCAGCACUCUAUCCUUUGGAUAAAUUCCUAGUAGUACUAUUCCUGGGUCAUAGGGUAGUUCUAUUUUGAAUAUUUUGAGGAACCUCCACACUGUUUUCCAGAGUGGCUGCACCAGUUUGCCUUCCCACCAACAGUACAAGAAGGUUUCUGUUUCUCCACAUUCUCUCCAACAUCUGUUGUUUCCUGAGUUGUUAAUUUUAGCCACUCUGACCAGUAUGAGGUGACAUCUCAGUGUGGUUUUGAUUUGUAUUUCCCUGAUGAUGAGUGAUGUUGAGCAUCUUUUCAUGUGUCUGUUGGCUAUCUGGAUGUCUUCCUUGGAAAAGUGUCUAUUCAUGUCUUCUGCCCAUUUCUUCACUGGAUUAUUUGUUUUUCAGGUGUUGAGUUUGAUAAUUUCUUUAUAGAUUUUGGAUACUAACUCUUUAUCCAAUAGGUCAUUUGUAAAUAUCUUCUCCCAUUCUGUUGGUUGCCUUUUAGUUUUGUUGAUUGUUUCCUUUGUGGUGCAGAAGUUUUCUAUCUUGAUGAAGUUCCAGUAGUUCAUUUUGCUUUUAUUUCCCUUGCCUUUGAAGACAUGUUGAGCAAGAAAUUGCUGUGGCUGAGGUCAGAAAGGUUGUUGCCUGUUUUCUCCUCUAGGGUUUGAUGGUUUCCUGCCUCACAUUUAAGUCUUCAUCCAUUUUGAGUUUAUUUUUAUGUGUAGUGUAAGAAAGUAGUCCAGUUUCAUUCUUCUGCAUGUUGCUGUCCAAUUCUCCCAGGACCAUUUGCUAAAGAAACUGUCUUUUUUCCAUUGGAUACUCUUUCCUUCUUCGUCAAAGAUUAGUUGGCCAUAAAUUUGUGGGUCCAAUUCUGGGUUCUCUAUUCCAUUGGUCUAUGUCUGUUUUUGUGCCAAUACCAUACUAUCUUGAUGAUUACAGCUUUGUAGUAGAGGCUAAAAUCCAGGAUUGUGAUGCCUCCCACUUUGGUUUUCUUUUUCAACAUUACUUUGACAAUUUGGGGUCUUUUGUGGUUCUAUAAAAAUUUUAGGAUAGUUUGUUCUAGCUUUGAUAAGAAGGCUGGUGCAAUUUUGAUUGGGAUUGCAUUGAAUGUGUAGAUGGCUUUGAGUAGUAUUGACAUUUUUAACAAUAUUUGUUCUUCCAAUCCAUGAGUAUGGAAUGUUCUUCCAUUUCUUUGUCUUCUUCAAUUCAUUUCAUACAUUUUCUAUAGUUUUCAGCAUAUAGAUCUUUUACAUAUUUGGUUAGGUUUAUUCCUAGGUAUUUUAUGGUUCUUGGUGCAGUUAUAAAUGGGAUUGAUUUCUUGAUUUCUCUUUCUGUUGCUUCAUUAUUGGUGGAUAGAAAUGCAACUGAUUUCUGUACAUUGAUUUUGUAUCCUGUGAUUUUGCUGAAUUCAUGUAUCAGUUCUAACAGCUUUUUGGUAAAGUCUUUAAUGAUAACCCCCCAGCCAGACUUCUCAAAAAGAAAAGAGAAAGAACCUAAAUAGAUAAAAUCAGAAAUGAGAGAGGAGAGAUCACAACCAACACCACAGAAAUACAAACAAUUAUUAGAGGAUACCAUGAAAAAUCAUAUGCCAACAAACUGGACAACCUGGAUGAAAUGGACAAAUUCCUAGAUGUUCACACACUACCAAAACUCAAAUGAGAAGAAAUAGAAAAUUUGAACAGACCCAUAACCAGUGAAUAAAUUGAAUCAGUUAUUAAAAAUCUCUCAACAAAUAAGAGUCCUGGGCCAGAUGGUUUUCCAAGGGAAUUCUACCAGACAUUUAAAGGAGAAUUGAUACCUAUCCUUCUCAAGCCGUUCCAAAAUAUAGAAAUGGAAGGAAAGCUUCUGGACUCAUUCUAUGAAGCCAGCAUUACCUUGAUUCCCAAACCAGAUAGAGACCCCACUAAAAAGGAGAGUUACAGGCCAAUAUCUCUGAUGAACAUGGAUGCAAAAAUUCUCAACAAGAUACUAGCAAAUGGAGUUCAACAGCAUAUUAAGAGAAUUAUUCACCAUGAUUAAGUGAGAUUCAUUCCUGGGCUGAAGGGCUGGUUCAAUAUUUGCCAAUCAACCAAUGUGAUACAUCACAUUAAUAGAAGAAAGGAGAAGAACCAUAUGAUCCUGUCAAUGGAUGCAGAAAAGGCAUUUAACAAAAUACAGCACCCUUUUUUUUUUUAAUUUUUUUCAACGUUUUUUAUUUAUUUUUGGGACAGAGAGAGACAGAGCAUGAACGGGGGGAAGGGCAGAGAGAGAGGGAGACACAGAAUCGGGAACAGGCUCCAGGCUCUGAGCCAUCAGCCCAGAGCCCGACGCGGGGCUCAAACCCACGGACCGCGAGAUCGUGACCUGGCUGAAGUCGGACGCUUAAUCGACUGCGCCACCCAGGCGCCCCAGCACCCUUUCUUAAUAAAAAGCCUCAAAAAGUCAGGAUAGGAGGAAUAUACCUUAGCAUCAUAAAAGCCAUACAUGAGAAGCCCACAGAUAAUAUCACCCUCAAUGGAGAAAAACUGAGAGCUUCCCCCCUGAGGUCAGGAACACGACAGGGAUGUCUACUCUCUCCACUAUUGUUUAACAUAGUGUUGGAAGUCCUAGCAUCAGCAAUCAGACAAUAAAAUGAAAUAAAAGGCACCCAAAUUGGCGAAGAAGAAGUCAAAUUUUCACUCUUCCCAGAUGGUGAGUCUUUGAAUUUUCAUGUUCAAUAUUUUGUUUCCAUAAAGUAAAUAAAAAUAAUCUUGAGAUUC
rnacentral:lncRNA from 1 species